AGACGACGCCGGCGGCAUGCUUAACACAUGCAAGUCGAACGCGAAAGUCCUUCGGGGCGAGUAGAGUGGCGGACGGGUGAGUAACGCGUGGGAAUCUACCCUAGAGCGGGGGACAACCCGGGGAAACCCGGGCUAAUACCGCAUACGUCCUACGGGAGAAAGAGGGCCUCUGCUUGCACGCUCUCACUCCAGGAUGAGCCCACGUCCGAUUAGCUAGUUGGUAGGGUAAAGGCCUACCAAGGCCACGAUCGGUAGCUGGUCUGAGAGGAUGAUCAGCCACACUGGAACUGAGACACGGUCCAGACUCCUACGGGAGGCAGCAGUGGGGAAUAUUGGACAAUGGGGGCAACCCUGAUCCAGCCAUGCCGCGUGUGUGAAGAAGGCCUUCGGGUUGUAAAGCACUUUAAGCGGGGAGGAAGGCCUGAUGGAUAAUACCCAUUGGGAUUGACGUUACCCGCAGAAUAAGCACCGGCAAACUUCGUG
rnacentral:rRNA from 1 species